UACGGGGGAGAGCAAGCGUUGUUCGGAUUUAUUGGGCGUAAAGAGCUCGUAGGCGGCUAGUUGCGUCGACUGUGAAAACCCGCGGCUCAACCGUGUGGUCUGCAGUCGAUACGGGCAGGGCUGGAGUUCGGUAGGGGAGACUGGAAUUCCUGGGUGUAGCGGUGAAAUGCGCAGAUAUCAGGAGGAACACCGGUGGCGAAGGCGGGUCUCUGGGCCGAGUACUGACGCUGAGGAGCGAAAGCGUGGGGAGCGAACAGG
rnacentral:rRNA from 1 species